UACGUAGGGGGCUAGCGUUAUCCGGAAUUACUGGGCGUAAAGGGUGCGUAGGCGGUCUUUCAAGCCAGAAGUGAAAGGCUACGGCUCAACCGUAGUAAGCUUUUGGAACUGUAAGACUUGAGUGCAGGAGAGGAGAGUGGAAUUCCUAGUGUAGCGGUGAAAUGCGUAGAUAUUAGGAGGAACACCAGUAGCGAAGGCGGCUCUCUGGACCGUAACUGACGCUGAGGCACGAAAGCGUGGGGAGCAAACAGGAUUAGAUACCCCGGUAGUCCCUGAG
rnacentral:rRNA from 1 species